UCUGAAUUCACGUCAACAGCCCUAAGGCACUCAUUCAGAAAGUACAGCGGCUGAGUACUAUUCAGCAUCUUCACUUGAAGCUACCGUAAACACCUUGACAAAACAACUCACUGUUCCAGGUCCAAAUCUAUCACUAUGGGAAAGCACAGUGAUGGGCUCAAGAGAGCUGGUCACAUUAUAUCAAAAGCAAAGAGAAAGUAAUGCAUGUCUACUGGUACUCAGCUCACUCAAGAUUUCCCUAAACAUCUGUCCACAGGAUUAACAUGGUCUAGACAAUCCCUCAUAAAGAAGACCCUCCUUCCCAGGAAAAAAAGUUUUUCAACACCAUGUAUUGGACUAUGGAUAUAACUUAUUGGAACUCUUGCCUACUGAGCACAAAUAACCAACAACCUCUCUCCAACUCAAGCAUUUAAGGGAUCUGAAGAACAAGGUGACUGGAGUUCCCUGCUGUACGUGAUGCUGUUAAUAGCUGCAAAUUGAAGAUUGUUUUUUUACUUGUGUGUCUUUCCUAGCCUGGUUUUUAUCUUUUCUAGGUACUACACCAUUCCACACACAGAGUAACUUCCAGUAACAAGCUGGUAUGUCUCCUGAACUUUGAACCACAAUCUAAUACCGUAAAAAUAUUGCCCCAUGCUACAAGGCAUCAAUGUAUUGAGCACUAAAGUAGAAUGUGCACAUAACCAAGGUAGUUUACCAAGUGCUUGUAGACUGACUUCGUCUUUCCCUUCCUUUAAAUCCUGUACCAGUCUUAUUUCGAAAGAAGUCACCAGUUCACUGGGGGUACCAAGAUAAAUAUUUUAAACACUUCAAACGUGAAAAAGAUCUUUAAUUAUGGUACUGGUUUUAAACUCUUUCACAAUGCUGAAUUGUGUUAACUAUCUACCACGCGGGGCUC